rnacentral:rRNA from 1 species
UACAGAGGGUGCGAGCGUUAAUCGGAAUUACUGGGCGUAAAGCGCACGUAGGUGGCGACGUAAGUCGGGUGUGAAAGCCCCGGGCUCAACCUGGGAAUUGCAUUCGAGACUGCAUUGCUGGAGUACGGAAGAGGAGGGCGGAAUUCCAGGUGUAGCGGUGAAAUGCGUAGAUAUCGGGAGGAACAUCAGUGGCGAAGGCGGCCCUCUGGUCCAGUACUGACACUCAAGUGAGAAAGCGUGGGGAGCAAGCAGG